rnacentral:rRNA from 1 species
AUUGAACGCUGGCGGCAUGCUUUACACAUGCAAGUCGAACGGUAACAGGCCGCAAGGUGCUGACGAGUGGCGAACGGGUGAGUAAUGCAUCGGAACGUGCCCAGUCGUGGGGGAUAACUACUCGAAAGAGUAGCUAAUACCGCAUACGAUCUAUGGAUGAAAGCGGGGGACCGUAAGGCCUCGCGCGAUUGGAGCGGCCGAUGUCAGAUUAGGUAGUUGGUGGGGUAAAGGCUCACCAAGCCAACGAUCUGUAGCUGGUCCGAGAGGACAACCAGCCACACUGGGACUGAGACACGGCCCAGACUCCUACGGGAGGCAGCAGUGGGGAAUUUUGGACAAUGGGCGCAAGCCUGAUCCAGCAAUGCCGCGUGCAGGAAGAAGGCCUUCGGGUUGUAAACUGCUUUUGUACGGAACGAAACGGCUCUGGUUAAUACCCGGGGCUAAUGACGGUACCGUAAGAAUAAGCACCGGCUAACUACGUG